AAACUCGGUUGAAAAUAGUAUGGUUUCAAAAUUAUCUAUCACAUGGAGAAUCAAUGAUGGGCAGAGAAAUUAAGAUUAGAUAGGAAGAAGAAAUGGGAGAAAACAUAAUAGAUCUACAGUAAAGUGAAGGUUCAAACUCGAUUGAAAAUAGUAUGGUUUCAAAAUUAUCUAUCACGUGGAGAAUCAAUGGGGGAGAAAGAAAUUAAGAUCAGAUAGGAAGAAGAAAUGGGAGAAAACUGGAAGAAGACAACCAAUGGAAGUAAUGGAAAUUCGAAUUGGGAAAUGACUCCAAUUUACUUGCGACCAAAUGACGCAUUUUGUCUUAACUGAGUUAUAUUAAGUCAGAUAAAACACGUCUUUUGCA
rnacentral:lncRNA from 1 species